GCUGAAGCUCAGGAAAAACUUCCUGUUCGAGCAGUACAAUGACAGAGCCCAUGAGCUCAGCAGGGGGCGAGCGCUCCAACGCUGGAGGCCUUCAAGAGGAUAUUGGAUCACCCUCUGCUUUGAUGUGAAUCCCUGCCGUAAGCAGGAGCUUCCUCCGGAUAAAACACGGACAGAAAUCGACACUGCAACACGGAACGCGGCCAUCUUUUCUCAGGUCUUUGGCAAUCCUCAUUUUCUGUAGAUUCAGACAUGCGGCUGAAAUACUUCCCUGGUCGGUCCCCUUUUCUCUACCUAAUAAAUGUCUG